CAGGAUGAUUUCAUGUCCUUUGUACCCUAGAACUUAAAGUAUAAUAAAAAAAAAAAAAGAAAAUGAUUCCAGACUGUGGAAGCAUAAAUGAGAAGAUGAAGAAUGAACUGUACUGUAAGAAAAAAUUUACUGUGGAUAAGUCGUAAUUGUAGGAGCCCUGUGGCUUGUGAUUUGAAGCCAUUGUGUCAACACAAAUGGUCAAAUGAAGUAAGGAAAAGUACUAGGACCUUGUUCUAACAUGCCUCCAGAAUCCUUAAAUACUAUGUUGAAUGCUUCUUAAAAUGAUGUUGUAAUAAUGCAAAAGUGUAAUAAAUUUACAAAAGAUGAAUAUGAAUACUAUGAUCUGUUGGAUUAGGGAAAUUCAUGCCAUGAUGUAUGGCAAUGAGAGGUAAUUAGAAGGUUGGAUUUGGAAACUUAUAAGGUUAUAUGAUGUUGACAUCAGUUGCAGAUCUUAUGUUGUGCUAGGUGAACACCAAAAAGUAGGAGGAGGAGGAAGUGGAGGAAGAAAAGGAGAAGGAGGAGGAAGGAAAAAGGAAGAGAAGGAGGAGAAAUCUUCAUUCAAUGAAAAGACAGGACAGUAUAGUGGUUACCAGCUCACGCUCUAAGGCCAGAUUGCCAUGUCAUAAUCAUUGCUUUGCCACCUUAACUGCCCCUUGCCUCUUUGACCAGUUUUCUUAUCUGUAAAAUGAGUACAAUAAUCAUAUCUGUCAUAGUAUUUGUGAAUAUUAAAUGGUUAAUUUGGGUGCAUUAUAUAGCAUGGACUGAAACCAUAUUAUCUAUUAUUAUUACAAUUGUUCUUGUUUCCCAGGACGAAAGUGAGGGGAUACACGAGCAGGAAAAGAUGACCUAGAGCUAAAUAUAAAUCUUAUCUAACUUUGGAGUUCCAAGUUCCAGUGCUACAUUCUCCAUCAGUGCCUUAUGUUAGAGAAUGUGAUGAGCUUUGCCUGUGGAGACAGGAUCCCAGGGAAAUGACAAUAACAAAAGAAAGAAGAAAGAAUAUGAGCUUCCUCCAGACAUCAUCAAAGAUCAUUGCCAAAGUUUUGAUGGGCUUUGAUUAAGGUAUCCUGGGACCUCAGCACAACCAACAAUAAAGAGAGAAGGAAGAAGACCCAGGACCAGGACAGCCUCCAUGUCAGAAAUGAAGAAGGAAUCUGCACGUUCAGACAAAAUAGACCUACUGCCCUCUAGAUACUUCCUUCAGCCUCUCAACUUAAGAUAAACUUUUGUGUCUUCAUUCUUAUCAUUUUUGUACCAAGAAAUACUGGACAUCCUUCAUCUCCAGCAGAUUAUAUUUCCAUCUGGCUCUGUCUGUCCUCUUUUAUGACUAGUCUCUUGAAAGUUUUUCUAAUUCAUCUAUGAACUCAAGGUCAAUCAUCAGUGAAAGCCUAGUCAUUAGAGAAACUUUAAUGUCAACCACUUCUGUAGACAUUCUUUUUGCGUUUUGCUCUAACAGGAAUCUGACUCUCUCCUGUGGACUCCGUUCCUUGAAAUCCAAAACUUAAAGUAUAAUAAUAAUAAAAUUAAAAAAAAAAGAAAGAAAUCAAGUCAAGCAGAAAUUGAGUUGAUUCUUCUAUCCCUUGUAUCUCUCAGCUUGGAGAAGUCCUUUUUACUCCACAUUGUCAUUCACAAACAACUGAUUAAAAGAGGGACAACAUGGUUUCACUGAGCAAACAUAGCCCCGUGUAGGAGUGGGAAAAAGCACAAGGCAGUGACAGACUGAAACUCUCUGGAGAAGUCACUCAUCUCAGCUGACUAUGAAGACUCCAUGUGGGACACCAUAGAGACCUCUCCAUUCUUAAUAACUGCUCCCUAUAGUACUAUAAUCCUUGGGCUCUGUUGCUUCAACAUUCUAUGGUUUAUUAAUGAGAUCCAAUAUGAGUUCACUCCUGUCCAUUAUAGUUGCUUCUUAUGAAAAGAAAGGAGAUCCUAUGAGGUUUUGUUCCAUCUGUUCAGUACCUCCAAUGCCAACAGUAUGAUCUCCUUUCUCAGAAACACAGAAAACCAGACAUACUGGGGUGGGCAUGCUUCACAUUUCUCCAUAGCUAAUGCAUGACCUCCAAUCAUAUUCAACCCAUGCUCAAUUCAUCAUUUGCUUAUGCUGUCUGCCAACCUAAAAAAUCUUCUAGUAUUUGUGUAUUCUCUCACCACAUAAUACUAAUACUCUGAAAUUAAUUGUGUUUUCCACUACUUUUGCAUACCAUCCAAAAUCUUGCACACUAAGCAAGGAUUGACUUUUAAAAUGCAUAUUUAUUUUUACACAUUAGCACUUUGGAGAAAGAAAGAAAUCCCUUCUCCUUUUUAUAAUUGAGUGCUCAGCAGUCGUGGGCUCAUAGUUGACAUCUAACCAAAAAGCUUAACAUCUACUGCUAGUUUCAGCCCAAACACCAAUAAGCUGGAUACAUUUGUGUCAGUUCCUUACUUUCUCUAUCAGUUUUUUUCACUUGAAUGGGCUGAACACAAUAAGUGAUUACUUAGCAACUAAACUUCAUAUUAAACAAGCAAUUAUUGUGUGUCAAGGACUGUGCUAAGCAGUGUCAACAUUCUGUGGUGACUUACAGAUUCAUUUCUUAGCAAAUGUCUCUGUGGUUGUUAAAGUUUAUAUUAAUUAUAUUUUGAAAUAUUUGAACAGUUAUGAUUGCACUUUUAGAAACAUUCACCUUCCAAUGUCUAAAUUUUACUGGGAUUUUAAGCUUUAUUUUAUUCAAGAUUUUUAAUAUUUUCCAAGUAUUAUUGAUCAUACAAAUAGGAAUGUUCUUGGCAAGAUAUUUCAAGGAAUAUUAACGGUUAUUGGCAGAAUUGGAUGAGGAGGUUAAUUAGAAGUUAUUGAGGACACAUUCUAUUUGUUAGGUUCUGCACAUAUGUUCACUAAUUUAGGUAUUAUUAGUCCCGUUUUAUGACUAAAAAUAGAGAGUCAGGGAAAGUAAUGGUCACAUAAUUACAAAGGCAAUGCUAAAAGCCGAGUUUCACCUGUUGACCUCAUCUGAGCACAAAGCCCUUCAAUACACCAGAGUACCACACUUCUGUGGAAAGGCAGUGAUUUAUUCUGGUCAUUUUCUAGCAUAUAUAAUAUUGGCCACAUUUCCUAGUAACCCACUAUUGUUUAAAUAAAAUGCCACACAGCUCAGGUCAAAGGGGCCAUUUUUUUCUGUUGACUUCCUUUUCAUAUCUUUGACACUAUAUUUUGCUGUCUCUUCUCAAAAUUCCUACAAAAGCAUUUUGAUGCUAAAGUCGAGCUUGGAAUAGAAGUUUAUAAAUGUUUAGAAGGAAAUAAGAAAUGCAAUAACUGCUUUAUUAAGUAUAAGAGAUUACUAUACACUGAGUUUAAUUAAAACUAUGGGAGCUGGUGAGAUGGAGAGACAGAUAAUCCAGAUCAGACCGGUUUCUACAAAUUCCACUCCCUUCCUGCAGAUCACACCCUGAGAAUAGGACAGUGCCCCCUGGUAUCAAAGGAAAUGGCCAGAUCUCACAGAUUAACCCUUGCAGGUACAUUGCACAAACCAAUAAAGUUUCAGUAUCAUCAGUGCCACCUUCAGGGGCAUAAAUGAAAUAGCAAAUUUUUCUAUUUCUCAAAUGUUUUUAGAAUUAAUGCUGGAGCAGGAAUAUAUGCUAAUAUGUAUCUUUGUACAUUUUCUACAAACAAUAUAGUUUCCUAAAUUUUUAUAAUAAUAUAUUCCGUUGUAAUGAGCUAUAUGCUAAGAUUUCCCAAUAGCUGAUAACUCUUUAAUCCCAGUAGAAAUAUGUGAAGAAUUUGUGGCUAAAUAUAAAAUAGGCUGGGGAAAAAUUGUUAGUGGUUUUCAGAUAUGUAAUAUUAGUUAAACUUGGUGUCAAAAAGGACACUAGUUGGCAAGGUGCGGGAUUUUGUUGUUGUUGUUUUGUUUUGUUUUGUUUUUUUUAGCUUACAGAAAAACAGAAUGAAAUCAUAGGUCUUUUAGAAAUCCUACCUCUUGCCUCCUGCCAACUGCUGAAAGCAUCUGUAAUAGAAGUAUUGCCUAAUGCAGUUUGGAAAGAGGGAUACAUGUGCCCAAAGGAAAUCCAAUUAAGAGAAUAUAUAACAACAACAAAAAAGAUAUGUGAUUUAAUGCCAAUGGGUAAUAAUUAAUUAUAGUGAAUUUAUUUAACCAAUAAGUGAUUUAAUUUUUAUCAAAACUUGGAAUUAACUACCAUACUUAGCCUUUUGAUUGCAUGUUCUGCCCCUCCCUGACCCUAUUUCUGCAUGACUUUCUGCCCAGUGGACUGCACUCUGUAGGCCCCAAGGUCCUCAGCUGCUGGCACUUCUCCAGGGGGCUCCCUUGGAGAUCAAUUCUUUCUAUUUUCUGCACCUCAUUAUGAUUAUCAAGCUUUCUCUCUACCAAAUGCCUCUAAUUCUUAUUUCAUUCCUUGAGCUCUAUGAAUUACUGUUGCUGGCUGGUUCUAUUAACUUGAAUGAGUAUUAAGUGCUAAUCUUGUCUCCUCUUCUAGUAUAACUUUUAACAAACAUUUAAGUUUAGUGUUUAGCUUCAAUCCAUAUUGAAUAUUCUGAUGGAAAUUUCCAGUGCUAUGGCUUGUGGUUGAAAGAAUUAUCAUGAAUAUGAGAUAUAGUUAAAUGUAACCGAGAUAACACUAAAUAUAUAGAUGAGAACAUUAGACUCUACUUAUGUCCCUACAGUUAGCCAUCUAUGUGAUAUUGAGCAGGGCAUUCCUCACUUUCUAGAUCCCAAUUUUACAGUCGUAGAAGAAAGUCAUGAGACACACAACCUGUACGCAUCCUUCUAAGUCUCCAGGAUUCUUGCUUUAUAGAGUUACAAUGCUAAGACAUAUAUGUGUGAACAAACAUAGGUCCAAAUUCUUAAGGAAUGUUGUCUUCAGACCUAAUUGGUGAAAACAAUCUAUAAUUAUAAAAUGCACUUGAAUAGUUUAACUGAAUCUCCACAGUAUUCCACGUGUGUAUCAGUUAAGACAGGUUAGGUUACACUUCUUUAACAAGCAAUCCUCAAAUCUCACUGCCAGAACACCACUUUACUUGCUGCUGUUGCAAAGUCCACUGCAGUUUCAAGCAGUUCUCCAGAACACCUCUCCUCCUUGUUUUGGUUUAAUGCUCCAAGUUGCUUGGAUCUUAUUUUACCUCUGUAUUACGAUGUGCUUCUGUGAACAAGGAAAGCAGAUGAAAGGCAGUGUGGAGAGUUGAACACCAUCAAUAAAUGCUUAUCCACAGUUCUGCUUAUAUAGCCACACUUCAUCUUUUAAGGGAAGAUAUGUAGUCACGCCUAACUUCAAUAAAAUAGAGAAUAGUGAUCCACACAUGUACCCAGAAGUAGAAAAGAAUCAGAUAUUGGUGAAGAGAAGUAAUACUUACUACAGUGUAACAUGGGCAUUGAGAAUCAUCAGAAAUUCAAAGUAACAACCACAAUGAGUAAUAUAAUGUGUUUACAUGAGAAGACAAUGAAUACAAAACACAGUAACAAGUCUACAGAAGUCUGCUGGAAUUCUUGCUGUAAAGAUACACAUGGACCUGUGGAUUCAUUUAUUUAUUCAUUUAGCAUUUAAUUAAUAUUCAUUCUUUGAGUGCCCACAGUGUGCUAGGUACCAGAAAUAAAGCUGUCCCUAAUUUAACACAUUUAAUUCAUUCCUGAAAACACUGCUGACAAGUGAAAAAUUAUUAAAUGAAAAAUACAUUUCCAUUAAUUUUAGGGGGAACAAUUAUAAUGCAUUCUAUUCCAACUGGAGAUGCUCGAAUAAUUUUCACAGAUAAACAUAUCAGUUUAGCAGUGUAAACAAGUUUAAGUAGGCAAUAAACAAUAAUUGAAAAGUAAAAAAAAUAGUUUGCAGAUAAAUGAAUACACAGAAAGGGACUCAUCAUGUUUACGAGACCAAAAGAAGAGAUAGCUAGAAAGGGAGACAGAAAAUAUUAUAGACAACGGAUAUGUAGAAUGAUCAUUAUAUAUAGCAGAUAUGUAGAAUGAUCAUUAUAUGUAGCAGGUAUGUAGAAUUUGUCAUUGGAAUCAGGACAAUUUUGUGCAUUGAAGCCAGUGCUAUAGAUAAAUAUACACUGGGACAAUAGGCAUAAACCAGUACCCUCCUGGGAAAACUAAGAAUUAUGCUCAUUAUACUCAUAUGCAAUGUUAUUUAUGAGAAAUCAUGAGACAAAUGUUAAAAGCUGGUGUUUCAGGAUGCACUCCACCAAUCACUGACACAUCUUUCACAGUUUCAGUUUACACAGUCCAACACACAUUCAUUUUGACCAGCGGGAGGUAGCAUAGGGAGAGUGGUCAGCAACCCUCUCUGGUGUUAGUUUGGCCAAGCUUCCCAACCUCCCUCAGGCACAUGCUAGCUAACAGUCUGCAAGAAGCCUGCCUGAGCCAGACUGCAUAGCAAUUCUGAGGGCACUCACCCCCUGCCACAGGUCCCCUAUUUUCAGUCAGGCAGUGCUUGACUGUAAGAAGCCUGACUGAUACUUAUCUCAAGUUAAUCUGCACAACUGAAAAGAUUUGUGUACAAAGUCCACAAUGCAAAAAAAUAAACCUAUAGACACAAUCUGAAUAUAAGCAGCUGUUUAUAUCCCUUAAGGCCAGCUGUAAUGGGACUUGCAUUUUUGGCAUUUUCUCACCUGAACCUCCUUGCUCCAUGUAGGGAAUCACUGAAGAGUUAGAAGCAAAGAAGUGCAAUGGUCCUACUUGGGUUGACCCUAUUUGGGUAUUUGUUUUGUCACUCACAAUGUGCUUGUCUGUAAAUAAAUUAUAUAAUCUGUCUAAGCCUCAGUUUUCUCAUCUGUAGAGCAUAAAUAAUACGAUUUAUAUUUCCGUUAUUGAAAGAAUCAUAUGAAUCAAGGUAUGUAAAGUGCCUGGUAUAUUAGAGAUCCUUUUCUUUUAAUAAUUUUGAAAUGCUAAUAAAGACACUUACAUGUCAGGUAUUAGUCUAA